ACGCUGCUUUCCGGUGUUUGAAACCAUAAAGAGGCGACCGCAUUGUACUCUCCUUCCGCGCAAUACAUUUGAACUGGAAACUUGGUGGGAUCAUUACCUAAUGGUUUACAGUCAUUAACAAAGUAUAUCAUCAAGGAUCCCACUGUUGCGCUUAAUAUCGCCACAAGGACAGCCUCGAUCACUUUCCUCCACUUUUGUGUCACAAAUCGCAAACGAAAACAGAUUCAGCAAGCCAGGGUAUGAAAGAUCUCCAGGGUGUCCAUGGUACGCGCUCAAAAUCACAUUCAAAGUGAACGUAGUGAUCAUGCUGGCGAAGAAUGUUCUCCAUGUGAGGCUUUGAUUGAAAAAGCUAGUACCCUCUUCUAUACUGAACAAAACCCCACCUAAAGAAAUGCAAGUUACUUGAUUUAUUACUAAACUUUGCAACACAAAGGUAUUUCUUAUGUAUAAUAUUAAUAUAAUGUAUACGUCGUAAUAUACAAAUUUAUAGUUAAAAAAAAAUUAAAACAGUAAUGCGCGAGAAA